AUCCGGCUGAUGAGUCCUAAAUAGAAUGGAACUCGCGUCCUGCAU
rnacentral:hammerhead_ribozyme from 1 species